AUAUGGACCGCCUCAAGGUAUGCCACCGGGCAUGCCGAUGAUGCAAUUUGGAUAUCAACAAUUCCCAAAUCAAGGAAUGCCUAACCAAGGAAGAUAGCAGAACAUUGAAUAACGAAAAAUUCUCUCAAGUAAAGUGUAGCAAAUCGUGGAUGUCAGGUUUUGAAAUAGACUGUGAUUUUUGAGAUGUCAAGAGACUAGUAUCUGCUACGUUCUUACAGCAAGCGUUACCCCUUUUUGAAUUAUAAUUAGGCGAAAUCAAGCAUCGUCUGUUUAUAUUAUAUUAUUAUUCAUUCA